rnacentral:rRNA from 1 species
UACGAAGGGUGCAAGCGUUACUCGGAAUUACUGGGCGUAAAGCGUGCGUAGGUGGUUUGUUAAGUCUGAUGUGAAAGCCCUGGGCUCAACCUGGGAAUUGCAUUGGAUACUGGCAGGCUAGAGUGCGGUAGAGGGUAGUGGAAUUCCCGGUGUAGCAGUGAAAUGCGUAGAGAUCGGAAAGAACACCAACGGCGAAAGCACUCUGCUGGGCCGACACUGACACUGAGAGACGAAAGCUAGGGGAGCGAAUGGG